GACUUCCUGCUGUGGUGGACUGACGUCUCCCGUGGUGGACUGUCCCCUCGGGCUGGAAGCCAAGACAAAUCCUUCAGACAGGGCCAGAUCAACUGUCCAGAUCACUGAUAACUGCUCUCAGGUCGUCUGUGUCUCCUGGGAGGAUCGCUGCUCCUACAGAAUUCACCACAGAUCUCGAACUUACCAUCACAAAACUGAAGGGAGAGAUAUGCAGAAUAAAUCCGUACCUGGGAAGAUCGAAGUGAAGAGCACGUGUGUCCUCAGAGGCAGGGUGUCCUCUGAGGACGUCCAUGUGUGGCUGUCCCUUAUGGAGCUACAUAUUCCGGAAGAUACAGGUUUUAGUGUUCUGAGUUUCUGCUGAGGCUUCCAGUCUCAUGACUGACAGCCAUUGUCUUCUCUCUUUCUGCUCUCUGCCCCCUUGGUCCUCAUGGUCUGGCCGGCCAGCCCCCUGCCUGAUAUUAUAGGUGUCCUGGCCCUGUAUGCCAUCUGUCAGAUGAAGGAUCACAUGUCCAUGUAAGCUCUCUGGUCACCACAGCAUGGAGUGUGGUCCCAAGGGCCUUAGAAAAACAUGACACCCCAUCAGUUGGGAAUUCUGCGGCUGUUCCCCCAAGGUCAUCGCAUCCCUGGCUCACACUCCCUUACUUUAGAAUUAAAAUGUCAAUUGUUCAGUAGGAGCACCAAGGCCUU
rnacentral:lncRNA from 1 species